AGAGUUUGAUCCUGGCUCAGGACGAACGCUGGCGGCAUGCCUAAUACAUGCAAGUCGAACGCUGAAGCACUCUGCUUGCAGAGUGCGGAUGAGUGGCGAACGGGUGAGUAACACGUGGGAAAUCUGCCUAGGAGUGGGGGAUAACAUUCGGAAACGGAUGCUAAUACCGCAUAUCUUUUUGAACCGCAUGGUUCUUAAACGAAAGACGGCUUCGGCUGUCGCUCUUAGAUGAUCCCGCGGCGUAUUAGUUAGUUGGUGGGGUAAAGGCCUACCAAGACCAUGAUACGUAGCCGACCUGAGAGGGUGAUCGGCCACACUGGGACUGAGACACGGCCCAGACUCCUACGGGAGGCAGCAGUAGGGAAUCUUCCACAAUGGGUGAAAACCUGAUGGAGCAAUGCCGCGUGAAUGAAGAAGGUCUUCGGAUCGUAAAGUUCUGUUAUUAGAGAAGAACAAGUCAAGGAGUAACUGUCUUGACUUUGACGGUACCUAACCAGAAAGUCACGGCUAACUGCGUGCCAGCAGCCGCGGUAAUACGUAGGUGACAAGCGUUGUCCGGAAUUAUUGGGCGUAAAGGGAGCGCAGGCGGUUGGAAUAGUCUGAUGUGAAAGCCCACGGCUUAACCGUGGAAGGUCAUUGGAAACUGUCCAACUUGAAUACAGAAGAGGUAAGUGGAAUUCCAAGUGUAGCGGUGAAAUGCGUAGAUAUUUGGAGGAACACCAGUGGCGAAGGCGACUUACUGGUCUGUAAUUGACGCUGAGGCUCGAAAGCGUGGGUAGCAAACAGGAUUAGAUACCCUGGUAGUCCACGCCGUAAACGAUGAGUGCUAAGUGUUAGGGGGGUUUCCCCCCUUAGUGCCGGAGUUAAC
rnacentral:rRNA from 1 species